CAGUCGCCGCGGUAAUCCGUAGGGUGCAAGCGUUAAUCGGAAUUACUGGGCGUAAAGCGUGCGCAGGCGGUUCGUUAAGACAGAUGUGAAAUCCCCGGGCUUAACCUGGGAACUGCAUUUGUGACUGGCGGGCUAGAGUAUGGCAGAGGGGGGUAGAAUUCCACGUGUAGCAGUGAAAUGCGUAGAGAUGUGGAGGAAUACCGAUGGCGAAGGCAGCCCCCUGGGCCAAUACUGACGCUCAUACACGAAAGCGUGGGGAGCAAACAGGAUUAGAUACCCCCGUAGUCCCUGUCUCUUAUAC
rnacentral:rRNA from 1 species